AGAGUUUGAUCCUGGCUCAGAUUGAACGCUGGCGGCAGGCCUAACACAUGCAAGUCGAGCGGAAACGAGUUAUCUGAACCUUCGGGGAACGAUAACGGCGUCGAGCGGCGGACGGGUGAGUAAUGCCUAGGAAAUUGCCCUGAUGUGGGGGAUAACCAUUGGAAACGAUGGCUAAUACCGCAUGAUGCCUACGGGCCAAAGAGGGGGACCUUCGGGCCUCUCGCGUCAGGAUAUGCCUAGGUGGGAUUAGCUAGUUGGUGAGGUAAGGGCUCACCAAGGCGACGAUCCCUAGCUGGUCUGAGAGGAUGAUCAGCCACACUGGAACUGAGACACGGUCCAGACUCCUACGGGAGGCAGCAGUGGGGAAUAUUGCACAAUGGGCGCAAGCCUGAUGCAGCCAUGCCGCGUGUGUGAAGAAGGCCUUCGGGUUGUAAAGCACUUUCAGUCGUGAGGAAGGUGGUGUAGUUAAUAGCUGCAUUAUUUGACGUUAGCGACAGAAGAAGCACCGGCUAACUCCGUGCCAGCAGCCGCGGUAAUACGGAGGGUGCGAGCGUUAAUCGGAAUUACUGGGCGUAAAGCGCAUGCAGGUGGUUUGUUAAGUCAGAUGUGAAAGCCCGGGGCUCAACCUCGGAAUAGCAUUUGAAACUGGCAGACUAGAGUACUGUAGAGGGGGGUAGAAUUUCAGGUGUAGCGGUGAAAUGCGUAGAGAUCUGAAGGAAUACCGGUGGCGAAGGCGGCCCCCUGGACAGAUACUGACACUCAGAUGCGAAAGCGUGGGGAGCAAACAGGAUUAGAUACCCUGGUAGUCCACGCCGUAAACGAUGUCUACUUGGAGGUUGUGGCCUUGAGCCGUGGCUUUCGGAGCUAACGCGUUAAGUAGACCGCCUGGGGAGUACGGUCGCAAGAUUAAAACUCAAAUGAAUUGACGGGGGCCCGCACAAGCGGUGGAGCAUGUGGUUUAAUUCGAUGCAACGCGAAGAACCUUACCUACUCUUGACAUCCAGAGAACUUUCCAGAGAUGGAUUGGUGCCUUCGGGAACUCUGAGACAGGUGCUGCAUGGCUGUCGUCAGCUCGUGUUGUGAAAUGUUGGGUUAAGUCCCGCAACGAGCGCAACCCUUAUCCUUGUUUGCCAGCGAGUAAUGUCGGGAACUCCAGGGAGACUGCCGGUGAUAAACCGGAGGAAGGUGGGGACGACGUCAAGUCAUCAUGGCCCUUACGAGUAGGGCUACACACGUGCUACAAUGGCGCAUACAGAGGGCGGCCAACUUGCGAAAGUGAGCGAAUCCCAAAAAGUGCGUCGUAGUCCGGAUUGGAGUCUGCAACUCGACUCCAUGAAGUCGGAAUCGCUAGUAAUCGUGGAUCAGAAUGCCACGGUGAAUACGUUCCCGGGCCUUGUACACACCGCCCGUCACACCAUGGGAGUGGGCUGCAAAAGAAGUAGGUAGUUUAACCUUCGGGGGGACGCUUACCACUUUGUGGUUCAUGACUGGGGUGAAGUCGUAACAAGGUAGCCGU
rnacentral:rRNA from 1 species